rnacentral:rRNA from 1 species
GACGAACGCUGGCGGCGUGCUUAACACAUGCAAGUCGAACGAAAAGGCCAUGCUUUUGUGGGUUUCUCGAUUGCGGAGGGGGGGAGAAUAACACGAGGAACCCCCCCUUAUCUUUGUGAGAUCUCCUGGAAACUGGGGCUAUUACCGCAGAGAAUAUAUUGCUCCAUGUGGGGGGUUGGUAAAUUUCGGCUGUGGGGGAUGGACUAGCGGCUUAUCCGCUGGUUGGUGUGGUAGUGGCUGACAAAGCUUUUGACGGGUAGCCGGCCUGAGAGGGUGACCGGCGACAUUGGGACUGAGGUACGGCCCAGACUCCUACGGGAGGCAGCAGUGGGGAAUAUUGCACAAUGGGCGGAAGCCUGAUGCAGCAACGCCGCGUGCGGGAUGACGGCCUUCGGGUUGUAAACCGCUUUCUCCUGUGACGAAGCGUUAGUGACGGUAAUGGGUAAAGAAGCACCGGCUAACUACGUG